AUUGAACGCUGGCGGCAUGCCUUACACAUGCAAGUCGAACGGUAACAGGUCUUCGGAUGCUGACGAGUGGCGAACGGGUGAGUAAUACAUCGGAACGUGCCUAGUAGUGGGGGAUAACUACGCGAAAGAGUGGCUAAUACCGCAUGAGAUCUACGGAUGAAAGCAGGGGAUCGCAAGACCUUGUGCUACUAGAGCGGCCGAUGGCAGAUUAGGUAGUUGGUGGGAUAAAAGCUUACCAAGCCGACGAUCUGUAGCUGGUCUGAGAGGACGAUCAGCCACACUGGGACUGAGACACGGCCCAGACUCCUACGGGAGGCAGCAGUGGGGAAUUUUGGACAAUGGGCGCAAGCCUGAUCCAGCAGUGCCGCGUGCAGGAUGAAGGCCUUCGGGUUGUAAACUGCUUUUGUACGGAACGAAAAGCCCUGGGUUAAUACCCUGGGGUCAUGACGGUACCGUAAGAAUAAGCACCGGCUAACUACGUGCCAGCCGCCGCGGUAAUAC
rnacentral:rRNA from 1 species